rnacentral:rRNA from 1 species
GACAUAGGUGGCGAACGUUAUCCGGAAUUAUUGGGCGUAAAGGGCGCGUAGGCGGCUUUGCGUGUCUUUCGUGAAAUCCCUCGGCUCAACUGAGGACGUGCGGAAGAAACUGCAGGGCUGGAGUCCGGGAGAGGAGGGUGGAAUUCCCAGUGUAGCGGUGAAAUGCGUAGAUAUUGGGAGAACACCAGUGGCGAAGGCGACUUACUGGACACAUAUUGACGCUGAGGUGCGAAAGCGUGGGGAGCAAACAGG